UGAUACCUAUAUAUCAAAGGCUUGAGCCUUUCCGGUGAAAAGGGAAACAGGUGUAAAUCCUGUGCGAACUCGUCACUGUAAACGGUUAAAACACAGAUGCCACUGCAUUCGUAAUGUGGGAAGGCGUGAUAAUAUAUGCCGUUAGCCAGGAGACCUGCCUAGACUGUCAGAUAACC
rnacentral:ncRNA from 2 species